GGAUGCGAUCAUACCAGCGCUAACGCACCGGAUCCCAUCAGAACUCCGAAGUUAAGCGUGCUUAGGCAAGAGUAGGACUUGGAUGUGCGAACCCCUGGAAAGUCCUCGUGUUGCAUCCC